GAUUUGAGCCACGAACUUAAUUGAAAUCAAGUGAAGAAAAGAGAUCACCUUGAGAUUUUGUUGAUACAUUGGGGAGCACUGGUUGCAAUUGAGGUAUGGGUUUUUCUCUCAAUUCUUCAAUUGACGUUUUCUUUUCUUUUGGUUUUGAACUAUGGUUUCCAAUGGUGUUAAUGGAUAUUGCUAAUGCUAAUGCAUGUUUAGUAUUAUUUCCUUUUGAUAUUUCGCGGUUUUUGGAAACCAAAGAAUGGAUAAUUGCCAUUUCAUCUGUUUUUGGUGUUUGAAUAAAUUUUUGUUGAAUUUCUGCGCCAUUCUGAAAUAACAUGAAAAAUCCCUAAAUUUCUUUUUGUUGGUGUCUUAGUUGCCGGGAGUGAACUUUGAAUUUUUCCUUCCAUCUCUAAAUUAGUUAAUCAUUUUAUGACUUGAUUUGAAAGUCUUAUCAUUUACCGUAUGGGUUGGAUUAGUGAUUGGGUAUUUGGGAUUUUUUCUUAAACUGGAAAUUUAACAAACCUUGUCAACAAACCCCUUUCAAGUUCUCCCUGCUUUGAUGAUUUUUGCAAGGCAAUAUUAGUCGGAAAUCUUUUUUUUAUAUGCUUACUUUAUUGUGGAUAGUUUCAAAUGUCGUAAAUGGUUUUAUAAAGAUUGAAAUGUUAUGCAGCUUCCUACUAUUGAUUUGCAUCACCAAUCAAGUCUUUGGAUGGAUUUUCUUUAAACCCAUCCUAUUAACUGUUUGUGAAAAUUACCUAAUGAAAUUCCUCUUUUUGUUUGAAACUUAUCACCUGAGCUCCAGUAGGAGUUGAUGCUACUUUUCUUAAUAAACCUUGAAUUUGCAUUUUCAGUAUUUGAAACUUCCCUCGUUAAUGAUAUUUAUGACUUCUGACUUGUAUUUAAACGUCCUUCACGUUCACAUUUUCAACUCCACCAGUAGCAAAAAGGUUGAAUUCGUAAAUAACCCUUUGUACUAUGUACCCUUCCAACCUUGCAUUUUAAAUAUUUUAAACUUCAGCUCACGUUUUGUCUUAUGACGUUAUCUUAAGUGUCUUCUUCAAAGCCCUGUUUACACAUCUCAGUUCAAUAAAUGGUAGCUUUUUCGUUCCAUUAUACCUUAUCUUGUGUUAUUUGAAUCAAUUUGGAAAUUUUAUUCGCAUUUUACUUCUCUGAUAACUCUCGGUAUCUAGGACUCUAACUUGCUAUGAUGGAAUUUCCAGUUUUGUGACAAAAUGCGAGAUUUUGCCAUGUUCAAGUCAGACUUGUAUCAAGUAUUUUUCUCUCGUGGAUAUGCGUUUGUCGAUCAUCUUGCUAUUUUGUUGCAGCUAAUAUUUUAAAUUUAUAUUGCCGCAUAUGGACUUGUAUUGUUGAGCUGUUGUUUUUAGAGCUAUCGCUUGAACGUGAUGUGAGGAUAGAAACUCUACUUUAGGAACGUCGGGCCUAAGUGGCACCCCACCACCUCGGUGGCAACCCGGAAGAUCGUUGCGGCAACGAUGGAUGGUAACUAGAACUACCCUGACGGUGGCUUUGGCCAUGAGUAGUAUAGUAAAUUCAUUUAAAGCUCUAAAUCUUGUUUGAAUGGAAUUUGCGUAAGGAUUUCUUUCUCUAAAUUAUCAUUUUUGCUACUCCUUGUUUGCGCAUUUAUAUUUUCAUGUCGAUAUUAUUAUUCUGCUGUUGUACCCUCUACUGGGCAUUCGCUCACCCCGUUUUGUUUUGUUUCCCCCCCACAGAGUACGAAGAGAAGUUGUUGCAGUAAGCCGGGAAGAGCUUACGGCAGGCUUUAGCGUUUGGAAAACGACACUGUGUGCGAAAUCCGUAGCCUCGAGCUUUGUAAGUAAGAAGAACCUGAACGAAAGGACAAAAUACCUCAAGAACAUUUAGAACAACUGGUAGGUUCGAUUUUGUAAUUGUCGUUUACGUUGUUAGAGACUGUGGGAAGUUGAUUACAUCUGAAGACUCGAAGGAUCUUUUUUGAAAGUUAAGGAAAUUGAAUGGAUAUCGGUGAAUCAGGCUGCAUUGUGUUGUGUUGAGAAGAAGGUUUCUUUUGUGAUAGCAUAUGACAACCGUGUAUUCGUUCAAGCAGAGACUUGCAGCCGAACGACGACGUACCUUACGUGGGAAAACCCUUGCGACGAUGAAAGUAGUAUGGCUACAUCACCCUUUUGAAGACGCAACUUGGGAGUUCGAACUUGACGUGCAAGACAACUACCCGAAGCUAUUUCUAGGUAUCCUUCUUAGCUUCUUCGUUUAAUUUUUGAAUUUGGGGGACCAAAUUCUUUUUUUAGUGGUUGAUGGUGUAACGACACCAAAAUCUCAUUUUAGCUUUGGAUCCGAACUCAACCCAUUUGAGUGGGAAGUUGGAACUGGAUAGUGUGCGCGUGCGGUCCUAAUAUAGAAUGUGUAUAGCUGUGGAGAGUGCCCCUAAAUUUUAGAAUGGGUGUUCUUUUUUUUACUAAAUAGAUAACCCCUUAGUAAUUUUGAGGGCAUGGUUAGAAGAAUGUACUUGUGGAAAACUCUAGAAAAUCUUGAGCAUGGAUUACACGUGUUUUAUCAAAAGAAAUUUUUCUUUAAAGACCCAAACUUAACUCUUCUUCUUAUUUUUUUUCUUGUUUUACUGUAUUCACUUCGAUUUGAGCCACGAACUUAAUUGAAAUCAAGUGAAGAAAAGAGUUCACCUUGAGAUUUUGUUGAUACAUUGGGGAGCACUGGUUGCAAUUGAGGUAUGGGUUUUUCUCUCAAUUCUUCAAUUCACGUUCUCUUUUCUUUUGGUUUUGAACUAUGGUUUCCAAUGGUGUUAAUGGAUAUUGCUAAUGCUAAUGCAUGUUUAGUAUUAUUUCCUUUCGAUAUUUCGCGAUUUUUAGAAACCAAAGAAUGGAAAAUUGCCAUUUCAUCUUUUUUGGUGUUUGAAUAAAUUUUUGUUGAAUUUCUGCGCCAUUCUGAAAUAACAUGAAAAAUCCCCUAAAUUUCUUUUGAGGGCAUGGUUAGAAGAAUGUACUUGUGGAAAACUCUAGAAAAUCUUGAGCAUGGAUUACACGUGUUUUAUCAAAAGAAAUUUUUCUUUAAAGACCCAAACUUAACUCUUCUUCUUAUUUUUUUUCUUGUUUUACUGUAUUCACUUCGAUUUGAGCCACGAACUUAAUUGAAAUCAAGUGAAGAAAAGAGUUCACCUUGAGAUUUUGUUGAUACAUUGGGGAGCACUGGUUGCAAUUGAGGUAUGGGUUUUUCUCUCAAUUCUUCAAUUCACGUUCUCUUUUCUUUUGGUUUUGAACUAUGGUUUCCAAUGGUGUUAAUGGAUAUUGCUAAUGCUAAUGCAUGUUUAGUAUUAUUUCCUUUUGAUAUUUCGCGAUUUUUAGAAACCAAAGAAUGGAAAAUUGCCAUUUCAUCUGUUUUUGGUGUUUGAAUAAAUUUUUGUUGAAUUUCUGCGCCAUUCUGAAAUAACAUGAAAAAUCCCCUAAAUUUCUUUUUGUUGGUGUCUUAGUUGCCGGGAGUGAACUUUGAAUUUUUCCUUCCAUCUCUAAAUUAGUUAAUCAUUUUAUAACUUGAUUUGAAAGUCUUAUCAUUUACCGUAUGGGUUGGAUUAGUGAUUGGGUAUUUGGGAUUUUUUCUUAAACUGGAAAUUUAACAAACCUUGUCAACAAACCCCUUUCAAGUUCUCCCUGCUUUGAUGAUUUUUGCAAGGCAAUAUUAGUCGGAAGUCUUUUUUUUUUAUAUGCUUACUUUAUUGUGGAUAGUUUCAAAUGUCGUAAAUGGUUUUAUAAAGAUUGAAAUGUUAUGCAGCUUCCUACUAUUGAUUUGCAUCACCAAUCAAGUCUUUGGAUGGAUUUUCUUUAAACCCAGCCUAUUAACUGUUUGUGAAAAUUACCUAAUGAAAUUCCUCUUUUUGUUUGAAACUUAUCACCUGAGCUCCAGUAGGAGUUGAUGCUACUUUUCUUAAUAAACCUUGAAUUUGCAUUUUCAGUAUUUGAAACUUCCCUCAUUAAUGAUAUUUAUGACUUAUGACUUGUAUUUAAACAUGUCCUUCAUGUUCACAUUUUCAACUCCACCAGUAGCAAAAAGGUUGAAUUCGUAAAUAACCCUUUGUACUAUGUACCCUUCCAACCUUGCAUUUUAAAUAUUUUAAACUUCAGCUCACGUUUUGUCUUAUGACGUUAUCUUAAGUGUCUUCUUCAAAGCCCUGUUUACACAUCUCAGUUCAAUAAAUGGUAGCUUUUUCGUUCCAUUAUACCUUAUCUUGUGUUAUUUGAACCAAUUUGGAAAUUUUAUUCGCAUUUUACUUCUCUGAUAACUCUCGGUAUCUAGGACUCUAACUUGCUAUGAUGGAAUUUUUCCAGUUUUUUGACAAAAUGCGAGAUUUUGCCAUGUUCAAGUCAGACUUGUAUCAAGUAUUUUUCUCUCGUGGAUAUGCGUUUGUCGAUCAUCUUACUAUUUUGUUGCAGCUAAUAUUUUAAAUUUAUAUUGCCGCAUAUGGACUUGUAUUGUUGAGCUGUUGUUUUUAGAGCUAUCGCUUGAACGUGAUGUGAGGAUAGAAACUCUACUUUAGGAACGUCGGGCCUAAGUGGCACCCCACCACCUCGGUGGCAACCCGGAAGAUCGUUGCGGCAACGAUGGCUGGUAACUAGAACUACCCUGACGGUGGCUUUGGCCAUGAGUAGUAGAGUAAAUUUAUUUAAAGAUCUAAAUCUUGUUUGAAUGGAAUUUGCGUAAGGAUUUCUUUCUCUAAAUUAUCAUUUUUGCUGCUCCUUGUUUGCGCAUUUAUAUUUUCAUGUCGAUAUUAUUAUUCUGCUGCUGUACCCUCUACUGGGCAUUCGCUCACCCCGUUUUGUUUUGUUUUCCCCCCACGAAGUACGAAGAGAAGUUGUUGCAGUAAGCCGGGAAGAGCUUAUGGCAGGCUUUAGCGUUUGGAAAGUUAGUAUAUUUUUAGCUUAUGAUAUUGUAUAUCACAGGGGUAUCUGGAUAGUUAGUUUGUGUUUUAGUUCCAUGUUUUUUUUUACUUUAUUUUGCUGUUGGGAUCUCUUACAGACUCAAUGUGUUUUGUGAAUGAAACCUGGUGAUGAAAUUAAAGGAAGGUCUGACCUUUAGGUGUCUAAAGUACCGAAUACAUGGCUCAUAUCUUGCUGGAAAAUCUAAAAAUUGCACAUGUUUUGUUUAUACA